GACGAACCGUGCGAACGUUAUUCGGAAUCAUUGGGCUUAAAGGGCGCGUAGGCGGCGGUGUAAAGUUGGAAGUGAAAUCCCAUCGGCUCAACCGUGGAAUUGCUCCCAGUACUGCAUUGCUCGAGGGGGAUAGGGGUUUGCGGAACUACCGGUGGAGCGGUGAAAUGUGUUGAUAUCGGUGGGAACGCCAGUGGCGAAAGCGGGCAAACUUGACCUUUCCUGACGCUGAGGCGCGAAAGCUAGGGGAGCAAACGGGGAUUAA
rnacentral:rRNA from 1 species